rnacentral:rRNA from 1 species
UUGCAACCUGCGGUGCAUAAAAAAAGACAACUCUAUUCCGCAGAGUAGAUGUUGACAUUAUAGUUGCACAGGAACUUUGUUGAUUCUAGAGAACCUUGGGCAAAUCGCACAUCCCCGUGGUGGCGACUUUGUAUGUGGAUGUGGAUGUCAUCCAUAUCAACUUUCGAUGCCAGUUUCUGCGCCUACCAUGGUGACCAUGGGUUAGGGGGAAUCAGGAUUCCAUUUCAUACGGGGACCCUGAGAAACGGCUACCAAAUGCAAGGAAGGCAGCAAGCGCGCAAAUGACCCACUCCCGACGCGGGAAGGUAGUGACGA